rfam:Actinomyces sp. oral taxon 175 str. F0384 Contig96, whole genome shotgun sequence.
GUCACCGCUGAACGGUGGCGACCGUGAGGUACUGGGGAGUACCACUGACCGGCCACCACUGAGUCUGGGCCACAGCCAAGGGAAUGUGCUCGGGCGUUUCGGUGAAGGAG